GGGUAUGUAGCGCAGUGGUAGCGCGCCUCAUUUGCAAUCAGGCAAGCACCUGCAGGAUCUUGAGGAGGUCCCAGUUUCGAUCACUGGCAUAUCCA